rnacentral:rRNA from 1 species
GACGAACGCUGGCGGCGUGCCUAAUACAUGCAAGUAGAACGCUGAAGAGAGGAGCUUGCUCUUCUUGGAUGAGUUGCGAACGGGUGAGUAACGCGUAGGUAACCUGCCUUGUAGCGGGGGAUAACUAUUGGAAACGAUAGCUAAUACCGCAUAACAAUGGAUGACACAUGUCAUUUAUUUGAAAGGGGCAAUUGCUCCACUACAAGAUGGACCUGCGUUGUAUUAGCUAGUAGGUGAGGUAAUGGCUCACCUAGGCGACGAUACAUAGCCGACCUGAGAGGGUGAUCGGCCACACUGGGACUGAGACACGGCCCAGACUCCUACGGGAGGCAGCAGGAGGGAAUCUUCGGCAAUGGGGGCAACCCUGACCGAGCAACGCCGCGGGAGUGAAGAAGGUUGUCGGAUCGUAAAGCUCUGUUGUAAGUCAAGAACGGGUGUGAGAGUGGAAAGUUCACACUGUGACGGUAGCUUACCAGAAAGGGACGGCUAACUACGUG